GAUGAACGCUGGCGGUAUGCUUAACACAUGCAAGCCGAACGGACUCUUCGGAGUUAGUGGCGGACGGGUGAGUAACGCGUGAGAAUCUGGCUUUGGGUUCGGGACAACCACUGGAAACGGUGGCUAAUACCGGAUGUGCCGAGAGGUAAAAGAGAAAUUGCCUGAAGAUGAGCUCGCGUCUGAUUAGCUAGUUGGUGAGGUAAAGGCUCACCAAGGCAGCGAUCAGUAGCUGGUCUGAGAGGAUGACCAGCCACACUGGGACUGAGACACGGCCCAGACUCCUACGGGAGGCAGCAGUGGGGAAUUUUCCGCAAUGGGCGAAAGCCUGACGGAGCAGUACCGCGUGAGGGAAGAAGGCUCUUGGGUUGUAAACCUCUUUUCUUAGGGAAGAACAAAAUGACGGUACCUAAGGAAUCAGCAUCGGCUAACUCCGUG
rnacentral:rRNA from 1 species